rnacentral:lncRNA from 1 species
AUGAUGGGUUCCGACCCACGUCAUUGGAAGGGACGGAGACAACAGAGAAGGGUCAUUUCUGACGCAGCGGUUCCAGGACACGGGGCCCAGGCGGUCCUCGGAGACCCCGGGGCAGCCCGCGAGCCAGGCACGGAGGACAGGGAGCUGCCAGGCAGUGGCACCAACCCCAGCUUCGGUCCAUGGUGCCCCGGGGCGCUCCACGGUCUCUCUAACCGGCAGGAACAGAGAAAUGGGAAGUCCAGGCAGCCAGGGGGCCCGGGACACCCUCCCGUGAACACGGUCGCAGAAGGCCUGGCGGCAGAGAAGAUUCCGAGUACGUGUGCGACAAAAGCGACAGAAGACCUACUGACAGCCGCCGGAGGACAGCGGAAAGCCCAGGAUAUGCAGAGGGGAAACCCAGAGCCCAACAACGUGAAACACCGUGAAACACACGCCAGCAGGGCCCCCGCCCUCCCCUGGAACCAGACAGCGGAUCCUGCAGCUCACACGGAAAGACAAACCGGAGAGAGGAGCCGAGAACGCCGCGAGAGAGAACCAGGGCACGGCCUCCGAGGUCUCACAACUCCGGCAAAGCCUCGAUGA